GACGGGGGGGGCAAGUGUUCUUCGGAAUGACUGGGCGUAAAGGGCACGUAGGCGGUGAAUCGGGUUGAAAGUGAAAGUCGCCAAAAAGUGGCGGAAUGCUCUCGAAACCAAUUCACUUGAGUGAGACAGAGGAGAGUGGAAUUUCGUGUGUAGGGGUGAAAUCCGUAAAUAUACGAAGGAACGCCAAAAGCGAAGGACAGCUCUCUGGGUCCCUACCGACGCUGGGGUGCGAAAGCAUGGGGGAGCGAACAGG
rnacentral:rRNA from 1 species